rnacentral:rRNA from 1 species
UACGAAGGGGGCUAGCGUUGCUCGGAAUCACUGGGCGUAAAGCGCACGUAGGCGGAUUGUUAAGUCAGGGGUGAAAUCCUGGAGCUCAACUCCAGAACUGCCUUUGAUACUGGCGAUCUUGAGUCCGGGAGAGGUGAGUGGAACUGCGAGUGUAGAGGUGGAAUGCGCAGAUAUCAGGAGGAACACCAAUAGCGAAGGCAGCUCGCUGGGACGGUAUUGACGCUAAGGCGCGAAAGCGUGGGGAGCAAACAGG